rnacentral:rRNA from 1 species
GGACGAACGCUGGCGGCGUGCCUAACACAUGCAAGUCGAACGGUCCGGCACUCAACCGACCCUCAGUCUAACUGUAGGGGAAGUUGAGUGCCGGGUAGUGGCGGACGGGUGAGUAACGCGUGGGCAACCAACCCUGUACAGUGGGAUAACACCGGGAAACCGGUGCUAAUACCGCAUGACACCUAUAUGGUGCAUACCGUAUAGGUUAAAGGAUUUAACCGGUACAGGACGGGCCCGCGUCCCAUUAGCUAGUUGGUGAGGUAACGGCCCACCAAGGCGAUGAUAGAUAGGCGGCCUUAACGGGUGGUCGCCCACACUGGGAUUGAGAUACGGCCCAGACUCCUACGGGAGGCAGCAGUCGAGAAUAGUCUACAAUGGCCGGAAGGCUGAUAGUGCGACGCCGCGUGAACGAGGGAGCCCUUCGGGGUGUAAAGUUCUUUUCUAUACGAGCAGUGCUAUAUAUAUGGAUAGUAUAUAUAGAGGGAUAGUAGUAUAGGAAUAAGCAACGGCUAACUCCGUG